CUUUUUUUCCCUAUGUUUGCAAUUUGAUGUGAAUGCACAGCACUGGUAAUUGUGGAAACACUGGAGGCAGGACAUGAUGCUAAUAGCAGAAAAGUACAAAACUUAAUGAUGCUGUUUCAACUGACUUAGAGGGUAUGCUGGCAGCUGGAUAGAAACAAGAAGAAAACAAUCCUAAACGGCUAACUUGACUAUUAUGUUUGAUGAAGAUGUUCCUCCUUAGAACAACUCAGAACAAACUUUAAAACUGUUAAUCCUAUUUCCGAUAAUAAUAUGGUACCGACUCUCUGUUCUCUACUGGAUUGUUUGCUGACCCCUGAAAAUGUGCCAGUGGAUUGCCCCACAUGGCUCUUGGGUGGUGGCUGAAGAAGAUGAAGGCAGUGAAGUUUCCAUCCCAAGGCACAGUGUUCAAUUAUUAUCUUCAUUCAGAGAUGAGGAAGUUCCUGCUCUGGGUGUUAUGAAAUUCCAAGCUCUGAAGUGGAUCCAGAUGCAUCUCCGCAGGUAUAUUGUGUGCAUGCCAGUAUCUUUGUGUCCAAGCAUUCUUAGAUGCAGAAAUCAUGAUAAUACUCCACUACACUUCAUAGAUGUCCUGACAAUAACACUGGACGUGCUUGGAUAAAUCCCUAGUGUCUGAGCCCUGUGCAUUUUGUUGAGAGUUGAUGUUGACAUUGUGCUUUUACCGCUUUCUACACUAUUGAAGCACUCCUGAAGACAAACCAUAUACCAUUUGCUAGUGGUUUCAUACUUUAUUUUGCCCACAGUACAAGAAAAUCAGGUUCCAAGUCCAUUUAAUCAUAUGAGCAUUGAAGUAGUGCCCACAAAAACUGUAUGCCACAAUUUCCUGUUUUAUGCACAGGUAUUCUCUUGCUAACUACAUUCUCUUCCUUUUAAUAGAUGAGAUCUAGGAGAGGCAAAUCACUUUAUCACUUUUUCCAGUAUGCUCUUAUCAACCUAUGAAAUUAGAAUUAUAUGUGUGUACCGGAAACUGCAGGAGCUGCAUUAGUACUAAAAUACUAACAGAGAAGAAAGCAUGAGCAAUGAGUAAAUGUUUAAUCACAUUAUUUGAGGCACCUGGUUGCUUUUGUUCUUUUUUUCAGUGUGAUUCCCAUAUAAUAUUCUUGAAUGCUUUACAGUGUAUAGAAUGCUUUAAUUUUUAGGUCUCUUUAAAUGCUUAGAUAAGUAGGAAUUUUCCCGAAGGGAUUAAAAAGAGGUGGAUAAAGCAAUAUAGAGCUGCUGAUCAGAUGUUAUCUGUUAUCAACUAUCCUGAAAUAAGGUGUUUUUGUUUUAGUUGUAGGAGAAUAAUUGGUAGGAAAAUAUAGAGCUUCAAAAAGAAAGAUGUUUCAGGCAGUGAAUGCUUUAGGUGCUCAGAAUAUGGAAAGGUAAUCUGUUGCCAACCAUUUGCUCAAAGAGUUUCAGCUACGCUGAAAGCCAGGCCUAAAAGUAAAUCAAACGUUAAUUGAAAUACUAAACAACAUUUGUGUAUGGGAACUGCUGAGUCAUGGCCUGAACCACUGAUUGAGCACCUGGAGGAAAGACCCAGUCAGCCCUGGGAGCACAGGUGAAGGCAAUUCACCUGUGCAACCAGAAGGGGUGGAGCCUGGCUCCACCCCUCUUAGGCC
ensembl:lncRNA